UUAUUAUAGAUAGCUAUAAUUAUUAUGUUGUAAGGAUUAGGAAGUAAAAAGAAAAAUAUUUUUUAAAUAAAGAAUAAAUAGUAUAUUUAAUUGAAUAUUAUUGAUUUGGCAAUAGUGUAAUAGUACCGAAAGGGAAGUUUGAAAAUAAAUAUUUUAUUGAAUAUAAUUUUAAGUAAAUUUUAAAAUUUGUACCUUGUGUAUCAGGGAAAACUAAAAUUAAUAAUAUAUUUAUUUAAGUCUCGGUAAAAAAGUGUCUAAUUAUAAUUUGUUAUUUUAUGUGUAAAAAUGAUAUUAAAAAUAUAAUUAGUGGUGAAAUGUUGGUCGAAUUUUUAUAUCUAGUUGUUUUUGAAAUAAAUUUAAUUUAGUUUAUUUUUUUUAUAAAAAAUAAGUAAAGUGUAGGAGGGAAGAGCUUCUUAUACAAAAAUAUAAAAAUAGAAGAAAAAAAUAAUUAAAUUAUAGGUAGGCUUAGAGGUAGUCAUCUUUGUAAAGUGUUUUAACUAAUAGUUUAAGGUAAAAGUUAAAAUAUUCUCUAUUUUAGUAAAAAGCUUGAAUAGUAAAUGUGUAUUUAUUUUGUAAUAUUGGUUUUAUUAGUAAUAUUUUGUUAUUGGAAAAUAAUUAAUAAUUAAAUAUUUAUUAAUUUUUAAUUAAAGUUUGUUCUUAUUAAGGAACUCGGCAAAUAAGAUUUCUGCCUGUUUAUCAAAAACAUGUCCUGUUGAAGUUUUAAUAGGUCUGGCCUGCCCACUGAGAUUUAAAGGGCCGCGGUAUCUUGACCGUGCGAAGGUAGCAUAAUCAUUAGUUUUUUAAUUGAAGGCUUGUAUGAAUGGUCGGACAAGAAAUAAGCUGUCUCUGUAAGAAUUAUUGAAUUUAACAUUUAAGUAAAAAGGCUUAAAUAGAUUAAGGGGACGAUAAGACCCUAUAAAGCUUUAUAGUUUCUUUAUUUUUAUUAAAAAAAGGUUGUGAAAAUUAAUUUAUUGGGGAAAUUAUUAUGUUGGGGCGACAAAAGUAAAAUUAAUAUCUGCUUUAUUUUUAUAACAAAUAGUUUUUGUAUAGGUAAUUGAUCCUAAGUAUAGAUUAUAAGUUUAAGUUACUUUAGGGAUAACAGCGUAAUUUUUUUUGAGAGCCCUUAUCGAGAAAAAAGUUUGCGACCUCGAUGUUGAAUUAAGUUGUCUACUUUAUGUGCAGCAGCUAAGAUAGAUGGUCUGUUCGACCUUUAAAAACUUACAUGAUUUGAGUUCAAACCGGCGUGAGCCAGGUUGGUUUCUAUCUUUUAGUUAAGAGAUACUUUUUUAGUACGAAAGGAUUAAGAAGUUUAAAUAUUUUAUAAAUUAUAAAUAUAAUAAAAGGUUUAUGAAAUU
rnacentral:rRNA from 1 species